rnacentral:rRNA from 1 species
UACGUAGGCAGCGAGCGUUGUUCGGAGUUACUGGGCGUAAAGAGUGCGUAGGCGGUUUUCUAAGUUUGGUGUGAAAUCUCCCGGCUUAACUGGGAGGGUGCGCCGAAGACUGGAAGGCUUGAGUAUGGGAGAGGUAAGCGGAAUUCCUGGUGUAGCGGUGAAAUGCGUAGAUAUCAGGAGGAACACCUGCGGUGUAGACGGCCUACUGGACCAUCACUGACGCUGAGGCACGAAAGCGUGGGUAGCAAACAGG